UCUUCCUCAGCUUCAUGUUAAUCUUCAUGAUAAUCUUCAAGUUAAUUUUUUUUUAAAUGUUCAUGAACAAGUUUUCUAAUCUAUUGUUACAUCUCUGUGUCAUCAUGACUUCAUGAUCUCGUUCAACUCAUGUAUUGAAUGAUCUUCAAUUAAUUGAAAGACAAAAGUUGCACAUUCUAAUUGGAUUAACAUUGAACAUCAACACCUACGAUCACAUGUUAUCAUUGGUAAAUUUGAUUCUCUUUGUUAUUGUUCAAUUUAAUGGAUUAAUCAUCUUAACCACUUUUAUUGGAAUCGAUUACAAUUUAAUUGUAGUUUAAUGUUUACUUUAUUGUUUUCACUUCAAGGAUCAACUUGUUUAAAGUAAAACAAAUCUUAGGCCUUUAAUUGUGUUCAACUUGAUCUUGAUUCUGUUCAAUGGGUGUUUCCUGACUUUCUUCAAUUAAGUAGGAAUAUAUAUUUAUCUCAUCUGAUUGUAUUACAAUUAGAUUGCUGUUUAAUUGUUCGUUGACCACUAAGCCAUCAAGUGAAACUAUCAAUUGAAUCAAUUAUUGAGGAGGAGUGAUGGAUAAUAACAAACCGUUGACCAUAACCAGAUACAUAAUCAAAUCAUUUACAAAGGAUUAUCAUUGAUUGUUGAAGAUCAUUUAUUAGUAUUUGUAACUGUCAUUCUGGAAUUGACCUUGAAAAGGAUAAUUUAAUGAGAAUUGAAUCUUAUUAAAGAUUAGUUAAUAUACAUAAGAAGAAAAAAGAAAUACUAAUCAAAAGGUGACCCACAAAUUGGAAAAACAUUUAAAGGGAAAACUAUUAAUUGUUUAUGAAGAGACUAGAAGGAGAAAACAAAUGAGAAUUGAUUAAUCAGUUGAUUAACAAUCAACAGCAGCAACAACAUGAAACCUUAAACAAUUUAAAUUACAAGUGAUGCUGAUCAAGUUAAAGGGUUAACUGAUUUAAAGCUUAAUCAUAUUGUUAUUAUUGUUUCCAUCAUGAUGAUAUUAAUCAUUAUCUAAGAUCUUAUUUGAUUAUUGGAAAUGAUCAUCUAGGCCGUUGGCUGUUGAUCAAUUGAAUUGAUUGUAUUGAUUAAGGAAGGGAAAAGAUAUAACAAUUAACAAUUAAUAUUGAUAUUAAUCAAUUAAUGUUUCCCAUUUCCGCCGGCACGGAUAGAUAGACAAACAAUACGGAAAACAAAUGUUAACAAUUUAAAUUGAAAGUUUUUCAUUUUAAGUAUUGAUGACAAUUUGAUAAAUUGUUGAAAAUGAUUAGCUGAUGAUUAUCAAGAUUAACGAUUGGAAAUGUUAUUUAUCUUAAAUUGUUUUCAAAUAUUAACAUUUAACUGGCCAAAUGAUUUGAGUGACUUGUCAAAUUUAAUCAAAACUAAUUAGUGUUAAUCUGUUAACAGUAACAAUUUGACACAGUAGUUAAUCAAGUCACGAGUCGCCAUCAUCAUUAAUCAUCACUAUCGUUAUACCAACAAGUUGAUUGUUAACUUGUCAUUUGUAAUUAACUUUUACAAUCAAAUGAAACGAAAUGAAUACUACAGUUAUCACAAGGAAAAUUAUCAAUCAAAAGAGAAACGAUUAAAUAACUAAUAUUACUUGAAUCGUAACAAUUAAAACAUUAAAGGAGCAAUUUAAAUCAACAACAAUCAACAAUCAACAAUUUAACCUUGUUAGGGGUUACCCUGACCAUUGAAUAUCAACAUUGAUCAAAAAUAUAACAGAUCAAAGUCAACAAUCAACUCAGUAAACACCCCCAACAAUUUAAUCGUAAUACGAAUAGCAACAUUGUUAAACAACAAUUAACGGUCAAAAUCAUUGUUUAAUUGUAGAUAAUCAUGUAAAUCGUGAAGGAAGCCAGAAUUAAGUAGCAACAACAAUUAAGAAGCCACGAAAAUAAAAUCAGAUCAUGAUUAGGAUAAGAAAUUCAAUCAU